GUGGGGAAUCUUAGACAAUGGGCGCAAGCCUGAUCUAGCCAUGCCGCGUGAGCGAUGAAGGCCUUAGGGUUGUAAAGCUCUUUCAGCUGGGAAGAUAAUGACGGUACCAGCAGAAGAAGCCCCGGCUAACUCCGUGCCAGCAGCCGCGGUAAUACGGAGGGGGCUAGCGUUGUUCGGAAUUACUGGGCGUAAAGCGCACGUAGGCGGAUCAGAAAGUCAGAGGUGAAAUCCCAGGGCUCCACCUUGGAACUGCCUUUGAAACUCCUGAUCUUGAAGUAGAGAGAGGUGAGUGGAAUUCCGAGUGUAGAGGUGAAAUUCGUAGAUAUUCGGAGGAACACCAGUGGCGAAGGCGGCUCACUGGCUCGAUACUGACGCUGAGGUGCGAAAGCGUGGGGAGCAAACAGGAUUAGAUACCCGGGUAGUCC
rnacentral:rRNA from 1 species